CACAUGAAAUCGACCACGGCGUCGAAGACUGUAGAAAAGCUUCGCACCGUUUUUGCAGCGUUUGGGCUUCCCGAACAGAUUGUGACAGAUAAUGGUCCUCAAUUUGUGUCUGACGAAUUUGCAGUUUUCCUCAGAUCCAAUGCUGUGCAACACGUCAAGACACCUCCGUACCAUCCGGCUUCGAAUGGGGCAGCAGAGAGGCUCGUCCAGACGGUAAAGAACUUGGUACGCCAACUGCGAGACGAGAGGCGCUCGGGGCAAGCCCGAACCAUUCAACACCGGCUGGACCAGUUACUCCUCACAUACCGCAACACGCCAUGCUCCACGACUGAACAGUGCGCAUCACUGGCGCACCUCUAGCGCAACCUGGUCCGGCGACCCCUGAAGAAACAGAGGAAACUCCUACCGAGGUCCAGGAACCAACGUCGGAAGCUACAGAUUCUACCGCCGUUGAACAACCUCCUGAACCUCUGCCACGCCGAAGCACAAGGGUUCGGCGACAGCCUGAAAGAUAAGGAUAUUAAC